GACGAACGCUGGCGGCGUGCUUAACACAUGCAAGUCGAACGGGCCCGCCCCUGUUUUUGGGGGUGGGUUGAGUGGCGAACGGGUGAGUAUCACGUGAGUAACCUGCCCCCUGCUCCUGGAUAACUGCUUGAAAGGGCGGCUAAUACGGGGUGUGCCGGCUGGUCCGCAUGGGCCUGGUCGGGAUAGUUUCAUCUUCGGGUGUUUCGGUGGGGGAUGGGCUCGCGGCCUAUCAGCUUGUUGGUGGGGUGAUGGCCCACCAAGGCGGCGACGGGUAGCCGGCCUGAGAGGGUGGGCGGCCACACUGGGACUGAGACACGGCCCAGACUCCUGCGGGAGGCAGCAGUGGGGGGUAUUGCACAAUGGGCGGAAGCCUGAUGCAGCGACGUCGCGUGAGGGAUGGAGGCCUUCGGGUUGUGAACCUCUUUCUCCGGUGGUGAAGGCCCUGUCCGUUGCGGCGGGGUUGACGGUAGCCGGGUAUGAAGCGCCGGCUAACUACGUG
rnacentral:rRNA from 1 species